UCUCCGUAGGUGAACCUGCGGAGGGAUCAUUAAGAAUUGAACAGUAGUGUCUGGCACUGUUGCCCAUUCUAACCCUUUGUGAACCAAACUUGUUGCUUCGGGGGCGACCCUGCCGGCACUCGGUCGCCGGGCGCCCCCGAAGGUCUCCCAACACUGCAUCUUUGCGUCGGAGUUUAAGUAAAUUAAACAAAACUUUCAACAACGGAUCUCUUGGUUCUGGCAUCGAUGAAGAACGCAGC
rnacentral:misc_RNA from 1 species